UUUUGUAUAAUGGGUCAGCGACUUAUAUUCUGUAGCAAGGUUAACCGAAUAGGGGAGCCGAAGGGAAACCGAGUCUUAACUGGGCGUUAAGUUGCAGGGUAUAGACCCGAAACCCGGUGAUCUAGCCAUGGGCAGGUUGAAGGUUGGGUAACACUAACUGGAGGACCGAACCGACUAAUGUUGAAAAAUUAGCGGAUGACUUGUGGCUGGGGGUGAAAGGCCAAUCAAACCGGGAGAUAGCUGGUUCUCCCCGAAAGCUAUUUAGGUAGCGCCUCGUGAAUUCAUCUCCGGGGGUAGAGCACUGUUUCGGCAAGGGGGUCAUCCCGACUUACCAACCCGAUGCAAACUGCGAAUACCGGAGAAUGUUAUCACGGGAGACACACGGCGGGUGCUAACGUCCGUCGUGAAGAGGGAAACAACCCAGACCGCCAGCUAAGGUCCCAAAGUCAUGGUUAAGUGGGAAACGAUGUGGGAAGGCCCAGACAGCCAGGAUGUUGGCUUAGAAGCAGCCAUCAUUUAAAGAAAGCGUAAUAGCUCACUGGUCGAGUCGGCCUGCGCGGAAGAUGUAACGGGGCUAAACCAUGCACCGAAGCUGCGGCAGCGACACUGUGUGUUGUUGGGUAGGGGAGCGUUCUGUAAGCCUGUGAAGGUGUGCUGUGAGGCAUGCUGGAGGUAUCAGAAGUGCGAAUGCUGACAUAAGUAACGAUAAAGCGGGUGAAAAGCCCGCUCGCCGGAAGACCAAGGGUUCCUGUCCAACGUUAAUCGGGGCAGGGUGAGUCGACCCCUAAGGCGAGGCCGAAAGGCGUAGUCGAUGGGAAACAGGUUAAUAUUCCUGUACUUGGUGUUACUGCGAAGGGGGGACGGAGAAGGCUAUGUUGGCCGGGCGACGGUUGUCCCGGUUUAAGCGUGUAGGCUGGUUUUCCAGGCAAAUCCGGAAAAUCAAGGCUGAGGCGUGAUGACGAGGCACUACGGUGCUGAAGCAACAAAUGCCCUGCUUCCAGGAAAAGCCUCUAAGCAUCAGGUAACAUCAAAUCGUACCCCAAACCGACACAGGUGGUCAGGUAGAGAAUACCAAGGCGCUUGAGAGAACUCGGGUGAAGGAACUAGGCAAAAUGGUGCCGUAACUUCGGGAGAAGGCACGCUGAUAUGUAGGUGAAGUCCCUCGCGGAUGGAGCUGAAAUCAGUCGAAGAUACCAGCUGGCUGCAACUGUUUAUUAAAAACACAGCACUGUGCAAACACGAAAGUGGACGUAUACGGUGUGACGCCUGCCCGGUGCCGGAAGGUUAAUUGAUGGGGUCAGCGCAAGCGAAGCUCUUGAUCGAAGCCCCGGUAAACGGCGGCCGUAACUAUAACGGUCCUAAGGUAGCGAAAUUCCUUGUCGGGUAAGUUCCGACCUGCACGAAUGGCGUAAUGAUGGCCAGGCUGUCUCCACCCGAGACUCAGUGAAAUUGAACUCGCUGUGAAGAUGCAGUGUACCCGCGGCAAGACGGAAAGACCCCGUGAACCUUUACUAUAGCUUGACACUGAACAUUGAGCCUUGAUGUGUAGGAUAGGUGGGAGGCUUUGAAGUGUGGACGCCAGUCUGCAUGGAGCCGACCUUGAAAUACCACCCUUUAAUGUUUGAUGUUCUAACGUGGACCCGUGAUCCGGGUUGCGGACAGUGUCUGGUGGGUAGUUUGACUGGGGCGGUCUCCUCCUAAAGAGUAACGGAGGAGCACGAAGGUUGGCUAAUCCUGGUCGGACAUCAGGAGGUUAGUGCAAUGGCAUAAGCCAGCUUGACUGCGAGCGUGACGGCGCGAGCAGGUGCGAAAGCAGGUCAUAGUGAUCCGGUGGUUCUGAAUGGAAGGGCCAUCGCUCAACGGAUAAAAGGUACUCCGGGGAUAACAGGCUGAUACCGCCCAAGAGUUCAUAUCGACGGCGGUGUUUGGCACCUCGAUGUCGGCUCAUCACAUCCUGGGGCUGAAGUAGGUCCCAAGGGUAUGGCUGUUCGCCAUUUAAAGUGGUACGCGAGCUGGGUUUAGAACGUCGUGAGACAGUUCGGUCCCUAUCUGCCGUGGGCGCUGGAGAACUGAGGGGGGCUGCUCCUAGUACGAGAGGACCGGAGUGGACGCAUCACUGGUGUUCGGGUUGUCAUGCCAAUGGCACUGCCCGGUAGCUAAAUGCGGAAGAGAUAAGUGCUGAAAGCAUCUAAGCACGAAACUUGCCCCGAGAUGAGUUCUCCCUGACCCUUUAAGGGUCCUGAAGGAACGUUGAAGACGACGACGUUGAUAGGCCGGGUGUGUAAGCGCAGCGAUGCGUUGAGCUAACCGGUACUAAUGAACCGUGAGGCUUAACCUU
rnacentral:rRNA from 1 species